rnacentral:rRNA from 1 species
GACGAACGCUGGCGGCGUGCUUAACACAUGCAAGUCGAACGGAAAGGCCCUGCUUUUGUGGGGUGCUCGAGUGGCGAACGGGUGAGUAACACGUGAGUAACCUGCCCUUGACUUUGGGAUAACUUCAGGAAACUGGGGCUAAUACCGGAUAGGAGCUCCUGCUGCAUGGUGGGGGUUGGAAAGUUUCGGCGGUUGGGGAUGGACUCGCGGCUUAUCAGCUUGUUGGUGGGGUAGUGGCUUACCAAGGCUUUGACUGGUAGCCGGCCUGAGAGGGUGACCGGCCAUAUUGGGACUGAGAUACGGCCCAGACUCCUACGGGAGGCAGCAGUGGGGAAUAUUGCACAAUGGGCGGAAGCCUGAUGCAGCAACGCCGCGUGCGUGAUGACGGCCUUCGGGUUGUAAACCGCUUUCGCCUGUGACGAAGCGUGAGUGACGGUAAUGGGUAAAGAAGCACCGGCUAACUACGUG